rnacentral:tRNA from 1 species
CGGGGCGUGGCGCAGUCUGGCAGCGCGGCUGGUUUGGGACCAGUAGGUCGCAGGUUCGAAUCCUGUCGCCCCGA